rnacentral:rRNA from 1 species
GACGAACGCUGGCGGCGUGCUUAACACAUGCAAGUCGAACGAAGUGGCGGACGGGUGAGUAACGCGUAAUCAACCUGCCCUUAAGGGGGGGACAACAGUUGGAAACGACUGCUAAUACCGCAUACUGAAGGAGGGGUUUGCGUCUGAUUUGCUAGUUGGAGGGGUAACGGCCAACCAAGGCGAUGAUCAGUAGCCGGGCUGAGAGGGUGAACGGCCAAAAUGGGACUGAGGCACGGCCCAGACUCCUACGGGAGGCAGCAGUGGGGAAUCUUCCGCAAUGGAGGAAAGUCUGACGGAGCAACGCCCCGUGAGUGAUGACGGCCUUCGGGUUGUAAAGCUCUGUUAAUCGGGACGCGGUACCGGAAUAGAAAGCCCCGGCUAACUACGUGCCAGCAGCCGCGGUAAUUC